AUUUCAGAAAAUAAUUUCACAAAAAAAAAGAGUGUUCAUGUAGUUGCAUUACAUUUAGGAUUGAGUCUAGAGUGUUUCAUUUAGGAUUGUUGCAUGUGUAUAGGGGAUAAUGAUGAGAUAGCCUUGUAAGCAUUUUGGUUCACCGGAUAAACUCAGUGCCCUCGUUGCUUGUUGUCUGUUGCAUAGUCAAUGAAUUUGAAAUAAAACUGAACCAUGCCUAGAUUUCUACUCGACCACACUAUCAUGAUCUGAUACCAUUCCCUAUCAAUUUGAACCUGAAUCUGAUCUUUAAUUAUCAUGUCUGCAUCAAAUUUGAACUCAUGCAUACCCUAAAAUACUUGGAUUUUCUUAUUCAUUUUGAUCACUCUUGUUAAUCCAAGUAGCUGACUCUCCAUAUUAGAGCAGUUAACCCAAACCCAAACCUAGACUUUCUUUCAAGCCCUAUAUCACUUGUGAGUGUUUGUGAGGUCUUAUUCCGAUUAAGCUUGGUAGAAAAUGUUAGCUUCGUAACGACAGAGAUAAUGUCUCAUGUAGUUCUACUUCGCAUUUUUCGGACUAGAUAGGACUAGGUGGGCGCUUAUACUUUGGGUUGGGAUGUGUUUAAAAAAAAAAAAAAGGGUUGAUUCAUUGAUGAGAAAAGGUAAAAGACUCUAGGUGAAGUAAGCUAAAGAAGCAGAAAAAGUCUAGUAAAGGUUUUUGGAUUUGUAAAGAAAAGAAGGAGUUCUUGUUAACUAUUGAAGAUGGGCAAAAGCCCUCGGUUUUAAAAUGUUAAAAACAGGAACCUUAGUUGUUAAAGAAAUCCAAAUCCGCUAGAUGUAUCACAGUGUUGAGAAAGCUUCUCCUAGAGUUAAGAGAAAAGAAAAGAAUGAUUAGAAAAAAAAGGCUUAAAAGAUUCAUGAAUGCAAAGGGUAGAGUUAAGUUCUUAUAUUGGGAUUGGAGAUGGGAUUACCAUUAGACCUUCAUUUGAUAUACUCUGGGUAGAUGAGAUCUUAUCUCUGUAUGCAUAGCAUGGGACUUACCUUUAGCAUUCUACUAAAGCUUAAUCAUUUUUUGAGAGAUCCCCUGUUACUGAAGCCUAUUCUGUAAGGGACCAUCUUUGUCUCUUGACCUUUUACCUUAGCCAAAUGAGUUCAUUGAUGAUGCAUUGCUUGAUUCACGUUCCAGAACUAAUGAAUGUUAAAGGGAUUGAUAGAUUUGAAAACAUGUGUAGGUCGAGCAUAUGAGUCGGAUUGAUUGAUAAUAAGGCAUGGCUAAAGUUUUUGAGUAGAAUUCGACCAUAUCGCAGCUUAGAACUAUCAACUUGGACAUUGAUUUCAUCAGGUUUAACAGGUUCUUUGGCUCUGAGUCCCCGCUUUCAAGCCUCACCUCCAGCUUGUUCUUGAUUGUUUGCUUGAAGGCAAGCAAAGACUAAGUUUGGAGGAGUUGAUAAGUGUGUAUUUUGCAUGUUUUAAGCAUCCAUUUGUCAUUACUUUAAAAC
rnacentral:sRNA from 1 species